rnacentral:tRNA from 1 species
GUCAGGAUGGCCGAGUGGUCUAAGGCGCCAGACCCAAGAACCCGAGGUUCUUCGCCGACAUGAGGUGUUGAGUAUUCUGGUCUCCGAAUGGAGGCGUGGGUUCGAAUCCCACUUCUGGACA